GAUGAACGCUGGCGGCGUGCCUAAUACAUGCAAGUCGAGCGAACAGACGAGGAGCUUGCUCCUCUGACGUUAGCGGCGGACGGGUGAGUAACACGUGGAUAACCUACCUAUAAGACUGGGAUAACUUCGGGAAACCGGAGCUAAUACCGGAUAAUAUAUUGAACCGCAUGGUUCAAUAGUGAAAGACGGUUUUGCUGUCACUUAUAGAUGGAUCCGCGCCGCAUUAGCUAGUUGGUAAGGUAACGGCUUACCAAGGCGACGAUGCGUAGCCGACCUGAGAGGGGGGUCCGCCACACUGGAAAUGAGACACGGUCCAGACUCCUACGGGAGGCAGCAGUAGGGAAUCUUCCGCAAUGGGCGAAAGCCUGACGGAGCAACGCCGCGUGAGGGAUGAAGGUCUUCGGAUCGUAAAACUCUGUUAUUAGGGAAGAACAAAUGUGUAAGUAACUAUGCACGUCUUGACGGUACCUAAACAGAAAGCCACGGCUAACUACGUGC
rnacentral:rRNA from 1 species